UACGUAGGCAGCGAGCGUUGUUCGGAGUUACUGGGCGUAAAGGGUGUGUAGGCGGUUGUUUAAGUUUGGUGUGAAAUCUCCCGGCUCAACUGGGAGGGUGCGCCGAAUACUGAAUGACUUGGAGUGCGGGAGAGGAAAGUGGAAUUCCUGGUGUAGCGGUGAAAUGCGUAGAUAUCGGAAGGAACAUCAGUGGCGAAAGCGGCUUCCUGGACCAGUACCGACGUUCAGGCACGAAAGCGUGGGGAGCAAACAGG
rnacentral:rRNA from 1 species